rnacentral:rRNA from 1 species
CCUACGGGAGGCAGCAGUGAGGAAUUUUGGUCAAUGGGCGGAAGCCUGAACCAGCCAAGUAGCGUGCAGGAUGACGGCCCUACGGGUUGUAAACUGCUUUUAUACGGGAAUAACGCGCCUUACGUGUAGGGCUUUGCAUGUAACGUAUGAAUAAGGAACGGCUAAUUCCGUGCCCGCAGCCGCGGUAAUACGGAAGGUCCGGGCGUUAUCCGGAUUUAUUGGGGUUAAAGGGAGCGUAGGCCGCAUGUCAAGCGUGCUGUGAAAUGUCCGGGCUCAACCCGGGCCUUGCAGCGCGAACUGGCGUGCUUGAGUCCGCGGAAGGCAGGCGGAAUUCGUCGGGUAGCGGUGAAAUGCUUAGAUAUGACGAAGAACCCCGAUUGCGAAGGCAGCUUGCUGCAGCGGAACUGACGCUGAUGCUCGAAAGCGCGGGUAUCGAACAGGAUUAGAUACCCCUGUAGUC